rnacentral:lncRNA from 1 species
GUUACAUAUGUUUAACAAUAAUAUGAAAAGCAUACUAAUAACAGGGAUGUUUUCUUAAAUGAUUUUCUCCUGGGCAUUGCCUAUGGGAACUAAUCUGUCAUGGGUUAUUUAUUAAUCCAAAGCAUAUUCAUCUCAGGACCUUCACCUGCUAGUUAUUAGCUUGUAGGCUUCUGACAAUACAUGCUUCUGGGAAACAAAUUCAGGUAUUCCCACUUGCAAGGCAGGCACUUUACCAACUGAAAUAGUUCCCUAGUCCUACUACAACUUUUUAAUAACUUAAAUAUUUGUCAUUGGUUAAAAUCCUCAGAGUAAUCCAUUGUAGGCCCUUCUAUUAAAGAGAAGCUCAAAAGGUUUAAUUGUCCAUAUUAUUAUUAGAUUGUAAAAGCCAAAGUUUAAAAAUACUUGAAUUAAUUUUCCUAGAAAAAUUAUGGGUGGUAGACCACUAAAAAAGUCUGUAAUAAUUCACACAGGGAUAAUGUUGACUAUGCAUCUAGCUUCAAAAUUGUUGGCAACCUUAAAAAUAGAAUUUAAACUAUAGGGAAAUUAUGUAAAACUCUCUAGCCAUACAAUAACCCAAAACAUUCUAAUAGGAAAAUUACACUUUGACAAGAAUAAUGAACAGGAUUCCUCUCCAGUGGCCUCUUUUCCCCAGUUUAUAGCUUGGUCAAGACAAGGUCUUCUGUGAAUGCCUUCAAUAUUGGACUGUGAGAACCUUCCACAUACCUCUUUCCCAACAAAACUCUGUCACUCUUACCAGAAAUUACCUAUUUUUCUGUGAAUUUAUAAAUUACUAUGUGGAUAGGCUCCUCCCCCUCUAGUACUUUCCAUUGUCCCAUCAGCUGCUCCUAGUAUAAAUAUACACUCUACAGGUAUAUGAGAGUCUAGUAUAUUUCAUGUGUUCUGCUAUUACUUUGCAUAAGGUUUUAAAUGAAACUUACUAUAUGGAGAUGUGGUACAUGACACAUCUAGCUAUUAUGGCUUUUGAAAAUAGAAGUUUUAAGCCAUUCCCAAGAUGGAAAAAGACCCAUGGGAAGCAUUACCCUAGACAAAUCAUCACUGAGUCUCUAUGGCCCAUAUCUCAGUGAUUAUGUUUUAGAUAGUCUCAAAUGCUCCAGAAAGACCACAUUACUUGGCCAAAGCAGAAGCAAAAAUCAUUUAGCCACAGAGAUAUAGGACAGAAUAAACUGAGGGUAAUAAAAUGUCCACAGAAAUAAGGAUUCUUGGAAACAUUUAAGCUAAAGACUUGAUACAAAAAAAUCAGAAAUGAUGUAUUCACAAGUUGAUUUUCAAUUCCCAAGUUAAAGACUGUUAUAUGAUGCAAAGACCCUUUACUGUGUUUGAACUCCAAAGCAACUGGGGUCUUCAUGUAAGGGAAGUUGCUCUUGCUUUAUCCCUACUACCAAGUGAAUACAACAUAUUAGUCACUUUAAAGAUAGACAUCAUCCUUGCAAAAGGACAUUCAUGGUAGGCUCUCCUAAAUUAAUCACUACAGGAAUGGAGUACCUAGAUUAUCUUUAUAGAGCAUUAACAGAUGUGUUUGUCAUGUGUGCACAUGUCUGACUCCAAGAGAUGGCUGGAGAGUAUGCUAAGGGAAACAACAAAUAUGUUUCUAUUCCAGAUAGGAGCAGACACCCAAAGUAGCUCUCUGUGGAUAGCCAAGGAUAUGAGAGUUGACUUUGUAGUUUUCAUGAUAUUAGAUGGUCAAUCUUUCCUAACCCACUUAGGGAUUUUGCUGAUUUGAUAUCUUCUAUUUUAUUGGCCAAUACUGGAGAAACCAGUCUGUUCAAGACCAGGACAUAGCAAGAGACAAUGGAGAGACAUAUGGUAACAAGACUCUAGUGUAAUGGGAAGACACAGCAGAGUUAGCUCUUCAUCUCUGGGUGGCAUGGGUGGCUCUCUUACUUUCCCUUAUGACUGGGGAGAGAUGGUUUGUGCUUGGUGGGAAUUAUGUGUACACUGCUCCACCUUCAUCUUCCUUUUCAUAACAAGGCCACUUCCAUGACCAGAAGGCUCUUUCCUGUAUGUGGUUGUUUUAAGUAUUCACUUUUCUCUUCCAAUUCUCCUAUCAUUUGGUAAAAAGGUAUGUGAAGAGGAGUUCCUCUCUGGAACACUUUCAAUUGUGAAUUCACUGUCUGUUCACCCAUUCUACAAGUAUUUCUACAUAGAAUAAUCUCUUCCUUGGGAAUAUUUUUACCUCUGUUGCUUCUUCUAAUUAGGUUUUCUCUAGAAAACCACUAAUAAUAGACCCCAGAUAAGGGCAGUGUAAAUGGCAACAGUGAACUGAGUGAAUUAGGAAAUAUCCUCUGGCAUUCAUAAUGUUAACAUAAGAUUUCACUUACAGAAGUGAAUUCUGAUACAAUUGGGAGAAAUACAUUUUAACAGCUUGUUUCAUAAUUAGAUCUAAAUUGCCCACUUAUGUGACAGUUGGUUUGGGAGAAUGUGGAGGCUUUGAGACAUGAGGACUGACUGGGGGAAGCAGGUCACUGUGACACUGUGUGCUUUGCUGGGUUCUUCUUCCCUUGGGUUGCUUCUUGUGUUUGGUAAUAGUGAUGAAUAUAAUACAGAUAAGUAUUUUUUUAUCAUUUUCACUUUCUAUUCUAGAGUUAUCACAUGUAUGUGUUUGUUCUAUAUAUUUUCUUUUUCUAGCCCUCUCCUGUUCAAAUGUGGGCAAAAGAAAGGGGACUUUAUCUGGCUCUGCUGUACAUGAAUUUCAUAACUAUAGAAUAUUCACCAUUUGAGAGUAACAAAAAAAUGUUGAGUGAAUAAUAAAUUAAUGAAGUAAACUUGGCAGCUGAUAAUUUAUAGAGAAAAAACAGUAUGGAAAACUUUUUUUUUGGCAUUUUGUGAGUUAUAAUAAGCCUAUGUAGUCUUUGGAAGCAGAAGUUUCAAUGAAAAUACUCAAAAUGAUGAGGUUGGAUGUGUAACUCUUAAAAGUGAAACACCAAGAAAUAGUUUAGAUUUUCAUGUCUUAAACAUGUAAAUUUCACUGUAAAACAUUUUAUAGAAACUAUCAUUGCAUAUAUUUGAGACAGUAAGCUAUUACAAUCUGUUGUCUGGUAAAAUAUUUGUCACUAAUUCAUUCCUUAAGUCAAAAUGAACCAUGCCAAGUGCAGAAGAAUGUUUUUUAUUGCAAGCAAUGCCAUAUAUUUGCUGAGGUGGAAUCUUCCUCUGCUCCCAUCCACUCUGGGAAGGUUGAGGGGCUUCCAAAGUACUUCACAAAUUCUAUUUGGCUCUAAGGAGUAACCCAAAAUGAAGAUUGGUGAAUAAUACUGUGUGCUAUGUGCUUAAAGUCUGAUUUUAAACAUGUUUAGCAAUAUUUAAAAUAUAGCUGUUAAUGGGCAGUUCUAUAAAGUUUACUAAGC